ACACGGGUAAGUGCUGCACGGCUAGCUCCCUCUGAAUCCUCCAGGGCGUGAUUGCAGCAAAGGUAGGCUGGUUGUAGCAGCGCGAUGCAGUGAGCUUACCCACC
rnacentral:SRP_RNA from 1 species